AUUGCAGGCUGCAACCCGCCUGUAUGAAGUUGGAAUCGCUAGUAAUCGCGGAUCAGCAUGCCGCGGUGAAUACGUUCCCGGGCCUUGUACACACCGCCCGUCACACCAUGAGAGUCGGGAACACCCGAAGUCCGUAGCCUAACCGCAAGGGGGGCGCGGCCGAAGGUGGGUUCGAUAAUUGGGGUGAAGUCGUAACAAGGUAGC
rnacentral:rRNA from 1 species